CACACAAACACACACACUUUGUCCUGAUGG
rnacentral:piRNA from 1 species